AUGGUUCAUUGUGAUGUUCCAGUUGAUAACAAGAAAUUGUGGAAGCUCAAAAUCCCUCUAAGAGUGAAGAUUUUCCUCUGGUUUCUUAACAGAGGAGUCAUCCUAACUAGAGACAAUCUGGCACGACGAAACUGGCAUGGUUCCAAGACAUGUGUCUUUUGCCAACAUGACAAGUCUAUCAAACACUUAUUUUUUGAGUGCAAGUUCGCUCGGGCAGUUUGGGCCAUAGUUCAAGUAGCUUCAAAUCUAUACCCACCACGUAGUGCACGGAACAUGUUCGGCAACUGGUUGCGGGGUAUUGAUAAACAAUUUUCUGCACAUAUUUUUAUGGGAGCGGCGGCCUUAUGCUGGGCACUGUGGCUUACCAGGAAUGACGAUGUGAUUUUUAAUAACAAAUGUGUCUCAUCUCCUAUGCAGGUUAUUCAUGUGUGUACACGAUGGCUUCGUACUUGGUCUAUCCUACAGAGGCCGGAGGACAGAGACCUUUUUAUGAUGGCGUCUACACGACUGAAGCGUACGGCCAGGAAGAUUUUCUACCCCCAUGGAUGGCGGUGUGACCUACGGAUAGGAUCUGCCACUCCUUAG
rnacentral:rRNA from 1 species